CCUAAACUNGCCGUCGUUUUUUAUCAGAAUUAUACAUGCAAGUCUCCGCACCACAGUGAAAAUGCCCAUCAACUCCAAAACAGACCACCGGAGCAGGUAUCAGGUACACCAUAGUAAAGCCAAUGACACCUUGCCACGCCACACCCACACGGGACAUCAGCAGUAAUUAACAUUAAGCAAUAGGCGACAUGAAGCCUGACUUAGUCAUGACAUAUAGGGUUGGUUAAUUUCGUGCCAGCCACCGCGGUUAUACGAAAAACCCAAGACAACGGCCUUCGGCGUAAAACGUGGCAAGAUGACAAGCCAAAAAUUAUGGGGAAACUAAGACAAAGCUGUAAAACGCUACAGAAUAUAAGA
rnacentral:rRNA from 1 species